rnacentral:rRNA from 1 species
GAUGAACGCUGGCGGCGUGCCUAAUACAUGCAAGUCGAGCGAACAGAUAAGGAGCUUGCUCCUUUGACGUUAGCGGCGGACGGGUGAGUAACACGUGGGUAACCUACCUAUAAGACUGGGAUAACUUCGGGAAACCGGAGCUAAUACCGGAUAACAUUUGGAACCGCAUGGUUCUAUAGUGAAAGAUGGUUUUGCUAUCACUUAUAGAUGGACCCGCGCCGUAUUAGCUAGUUGGUAAGGUAACGGCUUACCAAGGCGACGAUACGUAGCCGACCUGAGAGGGUGAUCGGCCACACUGGAACUGAGACACGGUCCAGACUCCUACGGGAGGCAGCAGUAGGGAAUCUUCCGCAAUGGGCGAAAGCCUGACGGAGCAACGCCGCGUGAGUGAUGAAGGGUUUCGGCUCGUAAAACUCUGUUAUUAGGGAAGAACAAACGUGUAAGUAACUGUGCACGUCUUGACGGUACCUAAUCAGAAAGCCACGGCUAACUACGUG